GUGGCGGUCCAGGGAGACUGGUAGUGAUUGGGGGAUUAUUUCACUCGGCCCUUGCUCUGGGCCUGACAAGUUCUAAAACUUGCAGGUUUGGAAAAUGUGGUUAGUGGUAACGGUGGGGUCUACAGAUGGGUGACUCUGGGACCUCCUCCACCUCAUCUUAUAGAGGGGAGGCCUACACCUGCCAACAGGUGGGGCACUAAUAACUGGAGCAUUGGUAAUACGAGUGUUUUCCCCGGUCACUCCCCAUGGUAGGUGGUGGUGUAACCGUGUUUAACUACCAGGGGUUUUAUGACACUAUGUCAACAUAGGUCAGCUGAUAGCCAUUGUGUAUAGGUAAUCGGUAGUCACCCUGGCGCCUCAACAAAAUAUUAUAGAAUACUCUGUAGCCAAAGUAAUGCCACAAAGUAAAAAAUGUAUAUUCUAGUCAUGAAAAUGUAAAUACAAGUUGGUG
rnacentral:lncRNA from 1 species